GAUGAAGAACGCAGCGAAAUGCGAUAAGUAAUGUGAAUUGCAGAAUUCAGUGAAUCAUCGAAUCUUUGAACGCACAUUGCGCCCGCCAGUAUUCUGGCGGGCAUGCCUGUUCGAGCGUCAUUUCAACCAUCAAGCCCCCGGGCUUGUGUUGGGGACCUGCGGCUGCCGCAGGCCCCGAAAACCAGUGGCGGGCUCGCUGUCACCCCGAGCGUAGUAGCAUACAUCUCGCUCUGGGCGUGCUGCGGGUUCCGGCCGUUAAACCACCUUCAUAACCCAAGGUUGACCUCGGAUCAGGUAGGAAGACCCGCUGAACUUAAGCAUAUCAAUAAGCGGAGGA
rnacentral:misc_RNA from 1 species